UUCUUCAGGUCAUUGGCUCACACACCUGA
rnacentral:piRNA from 1 species